UAUGAAUGUAAUUYUAUAAUUUAAUUAAUAUUAGUUAUGUUCUUGAAAAUUAAAGAUUUUGGCGGUAUUUUAGUCUAUUCAGAGGAACUUGUUUUAUAAUCGAUAAUCCACGAUUUAAAAUACUUAUUUUAAAUAAUUUAUAUAUCGUCGUGUUUGAAUAUUUUUAUUAGAAUUUUAAUAUUCAGGAUUUUAAAUUUAAAUUUAAGUCAGAUCAAGAUAUAAUUUAUAAAUAAGUAAAAAUGAGUUACAAUAAAAUUAUUUAAAUGGAUUAAUAGUUUUAAGAUUGUUAUGAAGGUGGAUUUGAUAGUAAUUUUUUAUAUAUAUUUAAAAUGAUAGAGCUCUAAAAUAUGC
rnacentral:rRNA from 1 species